rnacentral:rRNA from 1 species
UCGAGAAUCUUCGGCAAUGGGCGCAAGCCUGACCGAGCGAUGCCGCGUGCGGGAUGAAGGCCUUCGGGUUGUAAACCGCUGUCGAGGGGGAGCAACUUCCAUAGAGUUAUCUUUAUGGAUUGAGUGAUCCCUGGAGGAAGGACGGGCUAAGUUCGUGCCAGCAGCCGCGGUAAGACGAACCGUCCAAACGUUAUUCGGUAUCACUGGGCUUAAAGAGUUCGUAGGCGGCUAAACAGGUGAGGUGUGAAAGCCCUCGGCUCAACCGAGGAACUGCGCUUCAAACCGUUUAGCUAGAGGAAGACAGAGGUGAGCGGAACUGAUGGUGGAGCGGUGAAAUGCGUUGAUAUCAUCAGGAACACCGGUGGCGAAAGCGGCUCACUGGGUCUUUUCUGACGCUGAGGAACGAAAGCUAGGGGAGCGAACG